rnacentral:rRNA from 1 species
AUGCUGCUGCCCGCGCACUUCAAGCACUCCAACUUCUCCAGCUUCCGCAAGGUGGACCCGGACCCCUGGGAGCUCGCGCACGCCUCCUUCCUCCGUGGCCAGACGCACCUCCUCCCCCGCAUCGUCCGGCGGAGCGGCGGCGGCAGCAGGCGCGCGAAGGAGGACGGCGAUGAGGAGGAAGGCAUCAGCAGUACGGCGCUGGCCAUGGAGGUGGUUCGGCUGAGGAAUGAGCAGAGGGCCACCGAGGAGCGCGUGGCGGCGAUGUGGCGCCGGGUGCAGGACGCCGAGCGCCGGCCCAAGCUGAUGCUCGCCUUCCUCCUCAAGGUCGUCGGAGACCCCGACGCGCUGCACCGCCUCGUAGGAAACUUGAGUAGCGACGACGGAUUAAUCCCAGCCGAGGGCGCGGAGGCCAAGAGGCCGCGGCUGCUUCUUAAUAGGGAAGUCCAGGUGGGCGAGCAGAUGCACGUCGACGGCGAAGGGCAGUUGUACGGCAUCAGCCUGCAGAAGGCCUUCAUUCGGGAAUCCCCGGUCGACUUCACCGGGUUCUACACCGGAGGCGACGGGUUCAGCGAUGUGCCGACGGACGACCCGCCGUACGCUUUCACCGUGGACGGCAGCUACUGA